rnacentral:rRNA from 1 species
AUUGAACGCUGGCGGCAUGCUUUACACAUGCAAGUCGAACGGUAACGGGCCGCAAGGUGCUGACGAGUGGCGAACGGGUGAGUAAUGCAUCAGAACGUGCCCAGUCGUGGGGGAUAACGCAGCGAAAGCUGUGCUAAUACCGCAUACGAUCUAUGGAUGAAAGCGGGGGACCGUAAGGCCUCGCGCGAUUGGAGCGGCCGAUGUCAGAUUAGGUAGUUGGUGGGGUAAAGGCUCACCAAGCCAACGAUCUGUAGCUGGUCUGAGAGGACGACCAGCCACACUGGGACUGAGACACGGCCCAGACUCCUACGGGAGGCAGCAGUGGGGAAUUUUGGACAAUGGGCGCAAGCCUGAUCCAGCAAUGCCGCGUGCAGGAAGAAGGCCUUCGGGUUGUAAACUGCUUUUGUACGGAACGUAAAGGUUUGGGUUAAUACCCUGGGCCGAUGACGGUACCGUAAGAAUAAGCACCGGCUAACUACGUGCCAGCAGCCGCCAUAAAAC